GUCAUAAAAGGCAUCGUGAGCAGUACGUUGGCAAAGUUUUGGGUGAGGACAGCUGUGUUUGUGUACUGUUGGUGUUUGGCCCUCCUUUAAUAAUAUUUUAAAGGCAUUUUUUUUAUUGUUUUUGUUUUGAGAGGAAAAAACAUCUGCUUGGUGUUUUUUUGUUGUUUUUUUUUUUUUUUUUACUUUUUAAAGAAGUUAACGACAGAGACGAAGACUUUUUUUUUUUCUUAUGUUUUUUCUUCAGUCGGACAUGUGUAUUAAAACGAUGGCUACUAAGCGGUUAAAUACAGUCCGUCUACGGAAAAGCAUGAAGUUUGGCUCUACGUUAAGGUGGCGGCCUUUCCGUGUAUCGGCGGAGGAGGAGGGAGAGGCCCUCAAACCAAAUCGAACCCCGACGGUGAAGGCGACCGUCCGAAAAUACCCCCGCCGGGAACAUAGGCGGACACAGCAAGACAAGCUAUUCGGACUGUGGAGACACAAGGCUGGGGAGGAGAAAAGAGACUUCUUGAAUGAGGAAAGUCCCGCUACCGCCUGUGUGCACCGUCAUCCAGCCGGAGCAAUGGCGCCGGAAAACACCACGCAGUACCUGAUGGGAAACGUGUAUGAAGACUUUAAGAUUGACAUUAACCAGUCGGUCCGAGCUUCACACGAAGAAGCUGUGCAGCAGUUUAGCGAGCGUGUUGCUCUGGACUCUGAGUGCUACCUUGCUUUUCAGCAGAGGAACUUUGAGGAGGCCUUUGAAAUGUUUUGGUAACCGGAACGAACUUCCUUAAAGUGGUCCGGCUCCUUCAGCAGCCCUGAGUUAAUUCAGCACAUUUUAAAGCGGCGCGCCUUUGCACGCUGCCCGCCAGGGAGCGCUCCCGAGCCCUGCACGGCGCCGCCUGGGGGUUGGGACCGACCAAACGAACCUCUGCUCGGCUCUGGUCUCUUCACGGAUUGUGAAAUCCAGGUAAACCCGGGAAGGUAUUGUUAGCAAUGCAUUGUCAUUGAUGGCAGUAGUGGAUGGUGAUUGGAUGUUGGGGCUUUCCAGAGUCACUGUUGUCUGAGCGUUUUCCAGGUCACCCCUGCUAGGACACGUGGCUCAGCUGUAGGAGGAGCAGGGAGCAAAGGAGGUCGGUCUUCACGUGACUGGCAAGGUGACACUUGAAACAAACUGUCAGAGGAUAAUUGUGAUAAUUGUUUAUGUAUGUCCAUUUUAAUGUUAAUUAUUGUAUUUAAACUUUGAUCGCAAAGUGGUGAAUAUGGAGUUUAAUCUUAUAAUAAAUUCUGUUAUGUUUGGAAA